GGGCCCGCACAAGCGGCGGAGCAUGUUGCUUAAUUCGAUGCAACGCGAAGAACCUUACCAAGGUUUGACAUGCAGGGAAAAGCCGUAGAGAUAUGGUGUCCGUAAGGGUCCUGCACAGGUGGUGCAUGGCUGUCGUCAGCUCGUGUCGUGAGAUGUUGGGUUAAGUCCCGCAACGAGCGCAACCCUCGUUCUAUGUUGCCAGCGGUUCGGCCGGGAACUCAUAGGAGACUGCCGGGGUCAACUCGGAGGAAGGUGGGGAUGACGUCAAGUCCUCAUGCCCCUUAUAUCUUGGGCUGCAAACAUGCUACAAUGGCCGGUACAGAGGGCUGCGAGACCGCAAGGUGGAGCGAAUCUCAAAAAGCCGGUCUCAGUUCGGAUUGGGGUCUGCAACUCGACCCCAUGAAGUCGGAGUCGCUAGUAAUCGCGAAUCAGCAACGUCGCGGUGAAUACGUUCCCGGGCCUU
rnacentral:rRNA from 1 species